GACGAACGCUGGCGGCGUGCUUAACACAUGCAAGUCGAGCGGUAAGGCCCUUUCGGGGGUACGACGAGCGGCGAACGGGUGAGUAACACGUGGGUGACCUGCCCUCAGCUCUGGGAUAAGCCUGGGAAACCGGGUCUAAUACCGGAUAUGACUCCAUGACGCAUGUUGUGGGGUGGAAAGCCUUGUGCGGCUGAGGAUGGGCCCGCGGCCUAUCAGCUUGUUGGUGGGGUGAGGCCUACCAAGGCGACGACGGGUAGCCGGCCUGAGAGGGCGACCGGCCACACUGGGACUGAGACACGGCCCAGACUCCUACGGGAGGCAGCAGUGGGGAAUCUUGCGCAAUGGGCGAAAGCCUGACGCAGCGACGCCGCGUGAGGGAUGACGGCCUCGG
rnacentral:rRNA from 1 species